rnacentral:rRNA from 1 species
CUUGAACGCUGGCGGCAGGCCUAGCACAUGCAAGUCGAACGAGUGGCGGACGGGUGAGUAAUGUCUGGGAAACUGCCUGAUGGAGGGGGAUACCUACUGGAAACGGUAGAUAAUACCGAAUCCCCUCGGAUGCGCCCGGCGGGGAUUGGCUGGUGGGGGGGGUCAAGGGUCACCUGGGCGACGCUCCCUGGCUGGUCUGAGAGGAUGACCAGCCAGCCGGGAACUGAGACACGGUCCAGACUCCUACGGGAGGCAGCAGUGGGGAAGAUUGCACAAUGGGCGCAAGCCUGAUGCAUCCAUGCCGGGUGUAGGAAGAAGGCCUUCGGGUUGUAAAGUACUUUCAGCGGGGAGGCGUUACCCGCAGAAGAAGCACCGGCUAACUCCGUGCCAGGAGCCGCGGUAAUUC